AUUGAACGCUGGCGGCAGGCCUAACACAUGCAAGUCGAACGAGUGGCGGACGGGUGAGUAAUGUCUGGGAAAAUGCCUGAUGGAGGGGGAUAACUACUGGAAACGGUAGCUAAUACCGCAUACCAUCAGAUAUGCCCAGAUGGGUUGAGCUAGUUGGGGGGGUAACGGCUAACCAGGGCGACGAUCCAUAACUGGUCUGAGAGGAUGACCAGCCACACUGGAACUGCGACACGGUCCAGACUCCUACGUGAGGCAGCAGUGUGGAAUAUUGCACAAUGGGCGCAAGCCUGAUGCAGCCAUGCCGCGUGUAUGAAGAAGGUCUUCGGGUUGUAAAGUACUUUCAGCGGGGAGGCGUUACCCGCAGAAGAAGCACCGGCUAACUCCGUGCCAGCAGCCGCGGUAAUAC
rnacentral:rRNA from 1 species